AGAGCCCCGUCGUGCCCG
rnacentral:snRNA from 1 species